ACCAUUAAAAAAAAAAUUGAGAAGGAGCCGAGAAAACUAAAACCCUAGUUCCAUCUUUUCGUCGCUCCUUCUUUCUCUCUCUCUCUCACGCUCUCUCCUAGUUCCGUGGCAUGAUUCGGGGCUAUGUUUAAGUAUGGAAGCAACAACAACAGAGGAAUCAACCGUUACUACGGGAGAGGAGAGACGGAAGACGAGGCUCGCCGAGCCAAGCCAAGCCAAGCCAAGCCCAGCAUUCGGUUCCUUAAAAUCAAAGCAAGUUAGAAGAUAUCUGCUGAAUCGGUGAAGGGGGUAUAACCGAAGUAACGAAUGGCGCAAAAGGGGGUUUUCUUUGAGACUAAGUACACCAUCGUCCAUCAAGUUAUGCAUAGGUCAACUCAAGGAACUGUUGUGAGGCAGUUAAAUUUUGCUACAGUGUCUUGGUGGAGCUGAACACAAAUGCCUCUUCUCAGUCGAGGUAAUCAAAAUUACCUCUCUGAAAUGUCCCAUCUUAAAGUCCCUGUCCCUGUCCAUGAUGGUAGAAUAAUAACAAAUGCCUCGGGUUGGUUGAGAGGUAAUCAAACUGAAUGUCCCUGUCCCUAAUAAAAAACGAGAUUGUCCCAUGUUCUAUAAUUUCUCGGGUUCCUAGUCACCGAGCUGAAACAAAUGCCUCGUACUGCUAAGGUAAUUUAAAUUACCUCUCUUAAGGUCCAUGUCCCUAUCCCUGAUGGUAGAAUGAUAACAAAUGCCUCUCUGAAUGUCCCAUCUUAAAGUCCCUGUCCCAGGCCAUGAUGGUAGAAUGAUAACAAAAUGCCUCGGGUUGCUCGAGGUAAUCAAAAUUACCUCUCUGAAUGUCCCUGUCCCUGUCCAUGUCCCUGAUGGUAGUAUGAAAACAAAUGCCUCGUGUUGAUUGAGGUAAUCAAAAUUACCUCUUUGAAUGUCCCUGUCCCUGAUGGUAGAAUGAAAACAAAUGCCUCGUGUUGGUCCCUGUCUCUAAUGAAAACGACUGUCCCAGUUCUGUGUAGAUUCUCGGGUUCCUAGUAACCGAGCUGAAACAAAUGCCUCGUGUUGGUUGAGGUAAUUUUAAUUACCUCUUUGAAUGUCCCUGUCCCUGUCCCUGUCUCUGAUGGUAGAAUGAAAACAAAUGCCUCGUGUUGGUUGAGGUAAUUUUAAUUACCUCUUUGAAUGUCCCUGUCCCUGUCCCUGUCUCUGAUGGUAGAAUGAAAACAAAUGCCUCGUGUUGGUCCCUGUCCCUGUCCCUGUCCCUAAUGAAAACGACUGUCCCAGUUCUGUGUAGAUUCUCGGGCUCCUAGUAACCGAGCUGAAACAAAUGCCUCGUGUUGGUUGAGGUAAUUUAAAUUACCUCUUUGAAUGUCCCUGAUGGUAGGCUCUGCAGUCCCAGCUUCUUAAUUACUCGGGUUCCUAGUCACCCAAUGUAAAAACAAAUGCCUGGCCUAUGAAAUAGCUUGAGAUCCUAGUCACUCAAGCCAAAAGAAAUGUCCCUAUGGUAAAACGCAAGCGAGGGUUCCUAGUCACCAGAGCGAAAAGAACAAAUGCCUCGACUCGGUAUGAGAUCCUAGUUGCUCAUGCAACUGGGAUUUCCAUUAGUGUGGGGGUUUAGUCGUCUAACCCAAAAACAAAUGCCUCGACGCGGUAUGAUAUUGAGGGUUCCUAGUCACCUGAGUGAAAAGAACAAAUGCCUCGACUCGGUAUGAGAUCCUUGCUGCUCAUGCAACUGGGAUUUCCAUUAGUGUGGGGGUUUAGUCGUCUAACCCAAAAACAAAUGCCUCGGCGGGGUAUGAGAUUGAGGGUUCCUAGUCACCUGAGUGAAAAGAACAAAUGCCUCGACUCGGUAUGAGAUCCUUGCUGCUCAUGCAACUGGGAUUUCCAUUAGUGUGGGGGUUUAGUCGUCUAACCCAAAAACAAAUGCCUCGGCGGGGUAUGAGAUUGAGGGUUCCUAGUCACCUGAGUGAAAAGAACAAAUGCCUCGACUCGGUAUGAGAUCCUUGUUGCUCAUGCAAUUGGGAUUUCCAUUAGUUUGGGGGUUUAGUCAUCUAACCCAAAAACAAAUGCCUCCACUCGGUAUGAGAAUGAGAUAUCUCGUUAGAAGUACUUAUGCCGAAAGUGAACUCCUAAAUGACGCAAAUCAGGUAGUUCCUUACCCUUACCUCUUGACUUGCUUAAAACAGCUCUGCAAAAUCAAUAUACAGUAUGUGAAUUCAGGUAUGUAAAUUUCUGUUUCUUCUAUAUCUGAUGUCUUAUUAUAUUCAGUUUCGUUAUAAUAUUGUUUCUAAACUGAAUCCUCUUCUUUUUUUUUUGGCGUCUAAAACAUUCAUGGUUUUGCAGACACUUACAUAGAUCUUCUAACAUCACAUAUUUUUUUGCGCAGGCUGUUGUUCCUCGGUUUCCAAAGAUCAUCAUCAGGUUAUUUUCAGGGUAGACUCUUCGGUUUAUAUUCUUCCUCAUAUUCCCCAUUUUAAGAAUUGGAAUCAGUCUGUUAAAAUUAUGCAUAUUGCCUUUGCUUAAGUUUGUCUCAAGUUCAAAAAGAAAGUAGAUUUUCUUAAGUUUGUCUCAAGUUCAAAAAGAAAGUAGAUCAUUCUAUAAGUUGUUACUGUUACUGGAAAAAGAUAGUAAAUCACUUGAUAAUUUUAUUACUCCGUUUCUAAUUGUAGAGCAGAUUGCAUAAUUAUUAACACUUUUUUAACUUGCUAACUGAUAGUUUUGUUUGUCAAAAUUCCAUCAAGAAUUGAGUUUGUUGAGUGUCUUUAGGUGACUAGAGCUAAUUAAAAUGGUUCAACUCAUGUUUACACAUGUGAUUCUCUGUUGAAAUUGUAUUCCUGUAAAUUGUCAAUUUUAAUAUAUUCUAUGAUCUUGAUAUCUUUAUACAAAUUAGAAAGCUGCAUUUUUUUCUAUUAUUUGUGACAUUCAAGUUCGUCUAGAAAACCAUUCAAUUACUUGUAGUAUGAGUGAUACAAUGUUUUCCUGUGCUUCCAUUUAAGUGUAGCCGUGUAGAUAAAUAUGUGACAGCUGAAUGUUGUUCUGGAAGAUCCUAUAGUUGUGUCUGCUUACUAUAUCUUAUGUUAUCUGGUGUUCACAAUAUUGAUUGAGCAGUAUCUUCUCUGACUUGUAUAGAAUGAUUGAUACAAUUGAGUAUUUUCUGUGAUGGUUCAUAUUUGAUUCUUAGAGAACCUCAUGUCUGAGAUCUGUCGGGUUUGUCGUAAUGCAACCCAUUUGCAUUAUGAAAACAGAGGAAGUUUUGUGUAGCAAUAGAAUUUUAUGGAUAUUUUGUUAGGUGCAUUGUUCUCAUUUGUGAUUUCUUAUUCCAGUUACGCAUUCGGCUUACCCUUUGUAUCAUCUUGUUGUUAGUUACUUACUCAUUUGGUCAUUCGGCUUAUUCCUUGUUUGUUGAGAUUUCUCAGUAAUGACAUGUUUUAGUAUAAUUGGCUAUCUUGUUUCCUAUGAUUGGUAAUGAAUAUUAGUGAUCUAUAAAAUUGACCACUUCUUACUGUUGAAGCUGAAUAGCAUAGCAGUUCUUUUAGCUUUGUAAAUAUUUCGGCAUCUGAUUUUGAGUAUGUUUCAUGUUGCUAUUAUAGUUUUAUUCAUUCUUGUUGCUAUUUUUGUUAUGGUCUGAUCUGACCUUGGUUAUUUUGGAUUCAGCUAUCGUUGGAUGAAACCUAAGAUGUUGUUAUCAUGUAAAGUUUGCCUUAAUUUCUUUUUCAGGAAUGACUCUGUUUCUAAUGUUUGUGCUCAUAUGAUUUAGAGCAGAUACUAAUAGUUUUGGGUUUCCUUUUGUUUGUCAAUGUUCUAUGGAUGACUGAGUUGGUGAGAGUAAAAGUAUCGUUCAGUGUCUUUAAGGUCACUAGAGUUAAAAUGGUGUAACUCAUAUUUACACAUAUAAUUUUUCAAUGUUAAAUAUUCUGUAGGAUUUUACUUCCUUUAUACAAAGAUAAAAAGCUGUAUUUGUUUUUAUUUUGUGUUAACAUCCAAGUUUAAGUAGAAACCACUCACUUACAUGUAGUGUGAGUGGUAUAAUAAUGUUUGUGUUUCGUUUAAGUGCAGCCGUGUAGCUAAAUAUUUAGUGUUUUGUUCUGGGAGAUGGUAUAAUAGUUGUGUAUGCUUACCAUAUCUAGUGUUCAUCACAUUAUUGAUUGAGCAAACUAUAUCUUGUCUGACUUGAGCAGGAUGACUGAUUCAAUGAGUUCAUAUCUUUUAUGUGUUAGUUCGUUCAUAUCUGAUUCUUAGGGAACCUCGUGUGAUUCAGAUCUGUCGUGUUGCAAUCCAUUUGCCUUAUGAAUAUUACUACAUGGAUUUAGAGUGCAUUUUUUUUACUUGAUUCCUUUUUACAUUUUGUCUAGCUGUUAGUAGUUCGAUACCGUCCUAAAUGGUUGUACUUGUGUCUCCUCUGUUACUUUGCCCGUCGUAGCUUUCUCUUCAUCCCAGAGUUUACUCUCUCUGGUACUCACUCGGCCACCUUAAUUGGUGGUUGCUUCCUUGAGGUACUUUUAAAUUACCUCUUCGUUCUAAAUUACUGUUUUUUUUAAUUCUUUUCCUGUUUAAGGUGUUGUGAUUUCGCAAUUUAAUAUGGACGGUUCUUUUUUAUAUUUCAUAUAACAACCCAUAUAAUAUUUACAAGAACCAUAUAUAACCAAUUUACAAGAACAACAUAUAACCAAUUUAAAUUAUUUAAUAGAAAUUAUCAGUUAAAAAAAACAAAAUAUAAUACCAAGGAAAAAAAAAUUAAAAGAACCAACAAAAUUUUAGUUCUAUGAUGAUGGCUAUAUAGUAUAUGCUCAAAAGAAACAGCAAAUAAAUACAUUACUAUGCAUUUUAUCCGUCAAGAUAAUUGCAUAUUCUGAAGAAAUGGAAAUGUUCUCCAUUAAAAAC